GGGCCUGUUUCACGAAGCAGGUUUAGUGAAAACUCUGAGUUUCUUAACCCUGAAAUGAGGGAAACUCAGAGUUUUCCGUUUCACGAAGCGAGGUAACUUAACCCUGAGACAGAGGGGUAACUCUAGCCUGUUUCACAAAGAGGGGUAACUUCAACUCUCGGUCAGUUACCGCAGUAACAGACUCUAUGACUCUAACCUGGUCACCAGCAGGUUUAUCUGAGAAAACCUCCAGUUUCUCUCCGUCUCCGCCCUCUUUCAGCCACACGCUGUUUCAUUUCCUCAUUCAUUCAGUCAGUAAGCGAGCGAGUUUUGGCGUAGAACAGCUUUUAUUAACGAUCCAGUGGAUAAAGGAGCAGCAUUACUGCACAGAUCAUUAAAUAUUCGUCGGUAGAUUGUUAUCAGACCGAGCAUAAAUGUUCUCGCAUUUCCAGACAAUUAUAGGUUUGAGCGGUACCGUUUCGUAAUCGUUUCAAGUCCAUAAUCUACAUAAACAACCUAAUCCGUCCUUACAUUUACAUUACCAACCAGUCAUGCUCUCACAUCCAGCAGAUAUUGUGUGUUGCGCUGCGGUUCUUUGCAAAUGGAAGUUUUUAUAUAAUGUCGGAGAUGCAGAGUAAGACAACUGUAUGGAGGACAGUCAGAAAAGUUUUCCUGGCUCUGAAACGACUUUAACUCAUCAUUGUGGUUUUCCUGGACAUAAACCUGUCAGAACAUCAAGGAGGAUCCACAGGAUUGCAGGAUUUCCCAGUGUGAUUGGCUGCAUAGAUGCACACACAUCCCCAUCACAGCUCCCUCACAUCAUGAACAGGAAGUCCAUUCACAGCAUAAAUGUGCAGGUAGGCUACAGGUAGACUGACUACUGUUUCUAAAUGUUAAAGACUGCAUCAUAGUUCAACAUCUGUCAUUCUCUGCACUGUCCAGAUCAUAUGUGAUGCUGCAUACAUCAUUUCUAAUGUGGAGGCCACGUGGUCUGGGUCUGUUCAUGACUCCAGGAUUUAUGGAGAGUCUAACCUGAUCAACAGACUGCAGCGUGGUCAGCAGCAUAAAGAUUUUCACAAUAGAAUUCUCUUGUCUCCCUCCUUUAAUAUGCUCUGAUGUAUCCACUAUACAUUACAGGAGAGUUUGAUGGCCUUCUGCUGGGUGACAGGGGUUACCAUGACAACCCAGGCUGAUGACCUCAUACCCUGACCCUGAACCAGGCCCCCAACAGAACUUCAACCGGACUCACUGCAGGACCAGAGCCCGGGUGGAGAUGACCAUAGGCCUGCUGAAAGCCCGUUUCCAGAGCCUACGUCUCCUCAGGGUGACCCCUGAGAGGGCCUGUGAUAUUACUGUGGCAUGUGUUGUUCUUCAUAAUAUUACCACUAUUAGAGGAGAGCAACACCCUGCCCUACAAACUGAAGACCCAGAUGAUGAGCCCAUCCACCUGCAGCUAUCCAGGACAGCAGAGCAGUCAGAGACACCGUAUGCAAGAAUCACUUUAGAGUUUAAGUCUCCAUCAUCACCACCACAGCAAAUAAAGACAUGAUACACAUUUCA